GAUGAAGAACGUAGUGAACGUGCGAAACGUAAUGUGAAUUGCAGAAUUCAGUGAAUCAUCGAAUCUUUGAACGCACAUUGCGCCCGCCAGUAUUCUGGCGGGCAUGCCUGUUCGAGCGUCAUUACAACCCUCAGGCCCCCGGGCCUGGCGUUGGGGAUCGGCGGAGCCCCCCGUGGGCACACGCCGUCCCCCAAAUGCAGUGGCGGUCCCGCCGCAGCUUCCAUCGCGUAGUAGCUAACACCUCGCGACUGGAGAGCGGCGCGGCCACGCCGUAAAACACCCAACUCUUCUGAAGUUGACCUCGAAUCAGGUAGGAAUACCCGCUGAACUUAAGCAUAUCAAUAAGCGGAGGA
rnacentral:misc_RNA from 1 species